CAGCAAUGGUGGAAUACUCACACUAUCACACUGGGAAGACGCUAAAUCCUCAACAAAGCGCAGCCACAGAUGCUCCCUCGGCAAUGCGUCAUCGGCGACCCUGGUCUCCAGGUUGGUCUCUCACUUGUGACGUUCAAGAUAUCAACAUCAGAGAGCAGCUUGAUGCAUUGGUUUCUCGGCCCAGGUCCAAUCACUCCUCCAACCAAAUAUAUGUUGUCACCCACACCAAUCAUCCCGAAACCGAUCCUGCUCUGGAACUCAGAUGCACACGAUACCAUCUUAUCAGGGAAGUUCUCACCACGUUGCUUCAUAAUACAGCUGUUACUCAGCACAUACAGCUCUCCACCGACCAUCGCCAUCGGGCCUUGCAACCAAGAGAAAUCCUCAACAGCCCAAUGACUGCCACCAUCUUCCAGAAUCUGAA
rnacentral:misc_RNA from 1 species